ensembl:misc_RNA 7SK 7SK RNA
UCUGAGGGCAGCCGCUGUGACGUCUGUCUCCCCGUUGAUUGCCAGGGUUUGCUCCUGUUGAUCCGGCUGGCUGGGUGAGUGUCCUCUUCCGCCCUCACCACUCCAUGUAUGUCCCUCCAGAAGCUGUGUGCUUGCUUGGUCAAAGAGUACAACCAUACCUCCCCUAUAGAGCGGGACUGUUUCCUCCAUGUAGGGUAUAAGAAUAGCUUCACUCCCCUACAAUAACCUCCAAAUAAGAUCUCAAGGUCCAUUUGAAUAUCCUUCGAUCAUUUUAAGACAAAAGUUCAACUUAAUUUAUUUCAAUUCAUU